UUCGGGGCCGGAGGGCUGCCGUACGGCUACUUCCUCGACGCCUGCUUCCUCUGCCGGAAGCCGAUCGCCAGCAACCGCGACAUCUUCAUGUACAGAGGGGACAUCGCGUUCUGCAGCGAGGAGUGCAGGACGGAGCAGAUGGAGGCGGACGAGGAGAUGGAGAGGAAGGAGAAGAGCGCGUCCGCCAAGAAGCUGUCGCAGAGGCCGCCGUCCCUGGGCGAGGUGGAGUCCCCGCCGCGGCCGCGCAAGACGAGGGCCGGCUCAAUCCUCGCCGGCUGA
rnacentral:rRNA from 1 species